rnacentral:rRNA from 1 species
AGCGAACGCUGGCGGUAGGCCUAACACAUGCAAGUCGAACGGCAGCACAGUAAGAGCUUGCUCUUACGGGUGGCGAGUGGCGGACGGGUGAGGAAUACAUCGGAAUCUACUUUUUCGUGGGGGAUAACGUAGGGAAACUUACGCUAAUACCGCAUACGACCUACGGGUGAAAGCAGGGGAUCUUCGGACCUUGCGCGUUUGAAUGAGCCGAUGUCGGAUUAGCUAGUUGGCGGGGUAAAGGCCCACCAAGGCGACGAUCCGUAGCUGGUCUGAGAGGAAGAUCAGCUACACUGGAUGAGAGACACCGUCCAGACUCCUACAGGAGGCAGCGGUGGGGAAUAUUAGACAAUGGGCACAAGCCUAAUCCAGCCAUACCGCGUGAAUGAAGAAGGCCUUCGGAUUGUAAAACCCUUUUGUUGGGAAAAAAGAACAACAGGUUAAUACGCCGCUGUUCUGACGGUACCCAAAGAAUAAGCACCGGCUAACUUCGUG